CGGGGGAAAUGGCCCUUAGUAACGGCGAGUGAAGCGGCAAAAAGCUCAAAUUUGAAAUCGGCCCCCAGGUCCCAGUUGUAAUUUGUAGAUUGUAUCUUGAGAGCGGAUUAAAGUCUGUUGGAACACAGCGCCUUAGAGGGUGACAGCCCCGUAAAAUCUAUUCUCAUUGUAAGAUACUUUCGAAGAGUCGAGUUGUUUGGGAAUGCAGCUCUAAGUGGGAGGUAAAUUCCUUCUAAAGCUAAAUAUUGACGAGAGACCGAUAGCGAACAAGUACUGUGAAGGAAAGAUGAAAAGCACUUUGAAAAGAGAGUGAAAAAGUACGCCAAAUUGUUAAAAGGGAAGGGUAUUGAAUCAGACUUGGUGCUGUUGUUCAACCAUGUUUCGGCAUGGUGUACUCAGCAGUACUAGGCCAAGGUGGGGUGUUUGCGAGCGAACCACACCCCCCCCCCCCCCCCCCUUCCCCACCCCCCCCAGCCUACUUUCAUAGUUCCCCCGCCCCCCCCCGGACUGCGCUCCCCCCCCGCCCU
rnacentral:rRNA from 1 species